rnacentral:tRNA from 1 species
GCCGGCUUAGCUCAGUUGGUAGAGCAACUGAUUUGUAAUCAGUAGGUCGGGAGUUCGAUUCCUCCAGCCGGCACCA